rnacentral:lncRNA from 1 species
UUUUAGACUCUAAAACCAAGUCCGCACCAGAGAUUCAGAUAAGGGGUUCAUUUGACUCAGGGAGAAGGUGUUAGGCACUCCCCAAGUCCCGUGAAGGUCACGGUUGCGUACUCGAUCUAGUUGGCUUUUAGAAUAUUCGAUUGAGGUAAAAUAAACACAGAAAAAAACACGCAAGAGGUCCGAGGUCGCUCCCACCUAAUAAAAGGAAAAUAAACUAAAGCUAAAAAUACUAUGAGUUUCACUUUAGGCCUCCAACUACAAGUAAUUCGGGGCAUUCCCCGAAAUAAAAUAUAUAUAAGUCCUUCGGGCAUUUUCCGGAUGAAUUCAACUAAAGGAGGACCUCUCGCCUCGAAACCACAAACAAAUAAAUAUUUUAAAAUUGCCUACCCAAGUGUUGUCGGCCUAAAAUAUACCACUAGCGAAUAAUAACAAUACAAACCAAAAUGAAGUAACAAACAAAAACAAUAAAGCAACAUAAAAAUAAAUACAAUAUUUUAUACCCCAAACCCAACUCACGUGUGAACUUUAUCAAACAAGGUUAAUUUCAUAUUCAAAUUCUUCUAAAAUUAUCAAACCCCAACCAACCAGUAUAUGUUUUACUACCCAACCCACUAAAAAAUCUAUUAAUUUAAUUCUCCUAUUAUUAAAUUAUAAUCCUAGACCAUUCAAACCUCAAUGCAUAACCGAGCUAAAAUUCCGAUCUAGCUAUCAAAAUUCAUACGACAAAAUAGAGCUAAACAACACAAAAGGUAAUCAAGAACACAAACAUUCUCUAAUUAAAAGAUGAGAAAAAAAAACAAGAGGGGGUAACAUUCAGACCUUUCAUUGGAGAACAAAGUCGAAAAUGGCAACUCGACGGGCUAAACAGAGCAAGGCCACCGGACUGAAAAAACUGAAGCUAUGAAUUAGAACUUCGGCAUAAAAGCCUCGCCGGAAGCUUCGAACGGUCACUGAAAAAACUGAAGCUAUAAAUUAGAACUUCGGCAUAGAAGCCUCGCCGGAAGCUUCGAACGGAUCUCACGCGACUCAGCCUCAAUCGGACUCCAUUGUUGAAACCAAAAUCGAAGAGAAGCAGAACUGAAAUCUUUUUUUACUGAUUUUUAAAAAUGAAAAAUAAAACUUUAAUCAAGAACUAAUUUCAAAUUGUUUUCAUUCUUUCGUCCCCCAAAUUCUAUCUCGUUCCCUCUCCUUUCUCCUAUUCCCGUCCCUAUUUCUGCUCUGUGUGUCUUGCACGUUUUUGUGCUGCUGGUGGUUAAGGGUGGUCGUUUGAGUGAAGAAGAAGGUGAAGAUGGGUGGAGAAGAAGCAGGGUUUUGCGUCUCUGUGUGUGGUCUCCGGUUUCAGGCAUUCAUGUUGGUCGUUUAGGGUGGUAUUGACUGUGAGGGUGCAAGGUCGGUUCUUCUACUUGGCCACUGUAGGCAGUUAUGGUGGUUGUUUAGGGUGGUAUUGACCGUGAGGGUGCAAGGUCGGUACUUCCGUUUGGCCGCUGCUCUUCUCCGGUCGGUUCCAAGGUCUAGGGUUUAGCUUUGUGUUUUGUUGUUGUUGAAGGUUGAAGAAGAUAGGCAGCCAUGGAUGGUCUUCUAGGUUUUAGUAUAUCCUCCCCUUUAAGAAGUUCUUCUUUUGAAAAAGGAAGUGGGAUAAAAUUAGGUCUUUGGUGGUGAG